UACGUAGGGGGCAAGCGUUAUCCGGAUUUACUGGGUGUAAAGGGAGCGCAGACGGAACUGCAAGUCUGAUGUGAAAGCCCGGGGCUCAACCGCGGGACUGCAUCGGAUACUGUGGAUCUGGAGUGCCGGAGGGGCAAGCGGAAUUCCUGGUGUAGCGGUGAAAUGCGUAGAUAUCAGGAGGAACACCGGCGGCGAAGGCGGCUUUCUGGACGAUAACUGACGCUGAGGCGCGAAAGCGUGGGUAGCAAACAGGAUUAGAUACCCCUGUA
rnacentral:rRNA from 1 species